GGGUAACCUGCCCAAGAGAUCGGGAUAACACCUGGAAACAGAUGCUAAUACCGGAUAACAACAGAUGAUGCCUAUCAACUGUUUAAAAGAUGGUUCUGCUAUCACUCUUGGAUGGACCUGCGGUGCAUUAGCUAGUUGGUAGGGUAACGGCCUACCAAGGCGAUGAUGCAUAGCCGAGUUGAGGGACUGAUCGGCCACAUUGGGACUGAGACACGGCCCAAACUCCUACGGGAGGCAGCAGCG
rnacentral:rRNA from 1 species